CCAUCAGCCAGUUAGCUGGGUGCUUGACUGCCGUUGUGAGGUCAGAACGCUCGGAUCAACCCUACUCCUCCGUCAGAGCGUCCAAUGUGGCUCUGAACGCUCCCAGAGCGAAACGCUCUGAAUUUACGAACGCCAACAGCGCAAUUUACGAACACACCACCUAGGUUCCUUGCGGAUCAACGUCAUACUCCCCCAUCAGCUCUGGGACGCAAAAUAGUGUCAUGUCUUGAGACAUUUUAUUUUGGAAUGUUGACCAUUUCAAAUUCGCGGAUCAUUCUUCAGUCAGCUGACAGAUGAUGCAAGACUCACAAACGACCUGGAGGAUUUACAAACUGUUACAAAAGUAUUUUAAUAUGUAAUGUAUGCUUAGCCCAAACAAUAUUUAGUCCAUAUGAAGAAAUAUGUUAAUGACAUCUUGUUUUAUAUUAUGCAGACUCUGGUUAGCUAUCUAGUAGCUAACAACUGUCAUUAGCUAGCGUAACAAUUAUAGUAAAAAAAUAAUGUAGCUAGCUAGUUAUAUCUCUGAAAGGCAUGUUGUUACUUUUUUUUCAGUUCCCCAUUAAGUCCAUGCGGGAUCAGAAAAAGGAGAAGGGAUCAUGUCAAAUGUCUCAACCUCGGUGAUAGCUCAGCCAUCACCAUCUGAUUAUAUACAGAUGUUUCAAGACAUGUUGAGUCAAAGCUGAUCUACUCUAACAGCUGACUGCAGUUAUUGUCUUUUCUGUGCAGUUUUAUUUCAUAGAGAAUACAUCUAAAUGUUACAUGAAAAAAUGCCCAAAUAGCUGGUGGAUUAGAUUUUUUUGUUUUGUUGAUCAACCUCACAUGCUGCAGAGUAGACUGGAUUUAUCUGAGUGCUAACCUCUAUUCAUGGGUAUGCUGAUGAGGUAAAUUAUGAAUGGAUGCUUGUAUCUGCUUUUUGUUUUUUACACAUGCUUUAAUAGUUGUGUAAUGAACAUGGCCUAUUUCUCCUUUGUCAGGAUAUAAGGAUGGAAUACAUGUCAACAACUCUGACUCAAUCAAGACUGGACAUAGAAUACAACUAGGGUCCUAUCUGGUGUCAAACAUUAAGCCCUCAUGGAUGGUAGGGCUUUCUGCUUCAGAUUAAGCAAUAGAAGCUCUGAGAUCCCCAAACAAGAGAUGACAAUCUGUCUGUAAAGACUUGAAGAUCGUUUGGAGCCCUAUAACACAUUUACCAAGUUAUUGUUGCUUCUGCCUCUGUUAUUUGUCAAUAAAUCUAGAUUACUUUGA